UCCUCACCUCUGACCUUAUUCGUGUCAUCCUCCUAGGAGACAGGACCAGAGCUACCUCAUACGCUGCUGAAAGCCCAAAGCUGGCCGUUCCACGGCAUCUUCGUCGCACACAGCGUACAUGAUUCCUUUGAUGUGGUCUGCUCCAGCGUCCAGGAUGACCUGGUGACACUCUGCCGUUGAACCAUGCCUGCUCUCAUCAAAGAUCUGUCUGUGCAGGCUUCCUGGACUAAUUGGUAUUUGUUGAUGAAUCUGAAUUUCAGCGGACAUCUCGGCCGGAAGAAUUCAAGCCACUAUUUGUUAAUCAAAGAUGGAAUUCUUCAGUGAAUUUGGUGAUGCUAAUAGAAAAAUAAUUCAUGAAGCCAUUGUCAGAGGGAGUUACAAUGUUGUUUGUUCACAUAUUGAGCAACAUACUGGUGAGAAGGUUGCAGUAAAGAAGACCUUCAAUACCUUUGAGCACUUAUCUGAUGCUGCCUGGAUUCUCUGUGAGAUCAAAUUACACCGGCUAUUGAGAUAUCCUGACAUAGUUGAGAUGAGGCAAAUAAUGUUACCUCCAUUGAGGAGGUGCUUCAGGGAUAUUUAUGUUAUUUUUCACUUGAUGGAUGCAGACCUCCACAAAGUCAUCAAGGUCAAUAAUGAAUUAACCAAAGAGCACCAUCUAUUCUCUCGAUCAGAUGCUAUGCGCACUGAAAUUUGUUCAUUCCGGUUUGUCCUAUAAAAUGCAGCGGAACUAUUUAUUUUUAAUGUUAACUCCAAUCAUUUAAAAGGAGGUAUGCUUCUCCAAAAUUAAAAUCAGAGUUGGUUCACUACUUAUCCAUUAACAAAGAGUAGUACACAACAUGUACAUGCCUUCAAAGCUAUUUCCAAACAUGGUGUCCCUAUGUGUUCUACUGCAAUGACCUUAGGCUAAAUGUGAUGCAUUAUGUAAGUGUUGCAGACAGAAGAGGCGUGUUAUACUUUUUUACGAAAAUGGUCGAUCGAGGCCAUAUCAGAGAUGCAGUGACAAUUAGCAUUCUUGUCACUCGCCGGACGAAGCAUGGUAGUAUCUCUUGUCAUUCUGGCCUAAGAUCAUUAACCGUAUUUUUUAUGUCUCAUCUCCAUAGCUUGUAUUUUCCUUCGCAUCAUCCUUGGCUGCAGAAUAUAAAAAAGGCUCUUGGAUGAAACAGUUAAUAGGAUACUUCGACAAUCUCGUUUUGUUGAACACGUGCAAGAAGAAUGCAAUUAUGGCGUACCUUAAUCUGACUAGAACCUCAAGUUGCUCUUUUACAGUAGUCUUGCUUUCUCGCGGCUUUCUCACAUACGUAUUUCCUACAUGUCAUAGUUGAGCAUCUUUAGGUAGAUGAGGUGGUCGGUAUAAAGGUUAAGUUUGAAAAGAUGGGUCUUAAUGUACAUUAUAUGAUUUAGCUUUGAGGACCUGAAGCUUGUUCUACAUAAACUUGCACGCCUAAUGCCAGGUGCAUAUAUCCAAAUGCUAAUAUAUGUUCUGACUAUCA